AGUGAACACGGACGCAUCGAUCCUCGGGACAUCGCAACAACGGUCGCCCACCUGACGUGAAGGAGCGCAAGCUCCCGACGCCGGUGGUCCCGAGGGGAGCGAGUGGCGAGACCGGCCGUGCACGCG
rnacentral:ncRNA from 1 species